UACGUAGGGGGCAAGCGUUGUCCGGAAUCAUUGGGCGUAAAGAGCGCGUAGGCGGUCCGGUAAGUCGGUUGUGAAAGUCGGGGGCUCAACCCUCGGAGGCCGACCGAUACUGUCGGGCUAGAGUCCGGAAGAGGCGAGUGGAAUUCCUGGUGUAGCGGUGAAAUGCGCAGAUAUCGGGAAGAACACCCGUGGCGAAGGCGGCUCUCUGGUACGGUACUGACGCUGAGACGCGAAAGCGUGGGGAGCGAACAGG
rnacentral:rRNA from 1 species